GAAGGCGUCGCCCAACGAGUGGCAGAUUUUGAUGGAGUCUUGCUUGGAUGCUGGGGAGAUCCAUAGAUCUGGAUAGAGUCCCCGGAAUAGUACGCGCGCUAGCGCGCUACGGCUUAUGCAGUUGAUCGGAUCUGAUAGCCCUUCGGGCAACCAACCAAACCCGGCACAUCAAAUUCCAUUCCGAUCAACAACUUGAAGGUAUGGCUGAGUGGCUUAAGGCAUUGGUUUGCUAAAUCGACAUACAAGAAGAUUGUAUCAUGGGUUCAAAUCCCAUUUCCUCCGG
rnacentral:tRNA from 1 species